rnacentral:rRNA from 1 species
AUUGAACGCUAGCGGGAUGCUUUACACAUGCAAGUCGAACGGAGUGGCGAACGGGUGAGUAAUGUAUCGGAACGUGCCCAGUAGCGGGGGAUAACUACGCGAAAGCGUAGCUAAUACCGCAUACUCUUGGAGCGGCCGAUAUCGGAUUAGCCUGUUGGUGCGGUAACGGCUCACAAAGGCGACGAGCCGUAGCUGGUUUGAGAGGACGACCAGCCACACUGGGACUGAGACACGGCCCAGACUCCUCCGGGAGGCAGCAGUGGGGAAUGUUGGACAAUGGGGGCAACCCUGAUCCAGCCAUCCCGCGUGUGCGAUGAAGGCCUUCGGGUUGUAAAGCACUUUUGGCAGGAAAGCGGUACCUGCAGAAUAAGCACCGGCUAACUACGUGCCAGCAGCCGCGGUAAUUC